rnacentral:rRNA from 1 species
AUUGAACGCUGGCGGCAGGCCUAACACAUGCAAGUCGAGCGGUAGAGAGGUGCUUGCAUCUCUUGAGAGCGGCGGACGGGUGAGUAAUGCCUAGGAAUCUGCCUAGUGGUGGGGGAUAAACGUUCGGAAACGGACGCUAAUACCGCAUACGUCCUACGGGAGAAAGCGGGGGAUCUUCGGACCUCGCGCCAUUAGAUGAGCCUAGGUCGGAUUAGCUAGUUGGUGAGGUAAUGGUUCACCAAGGCGACGAUCCGUAACUGGUCUGAGAGGAUGAUCAGUCACACUGGAACUGAGACACGGUCCAGACUCCUACGGGAGGCAGCAGUGGGGAAUAUUGGACAAUGGGCGAAAGCCUGAUCCAGCCAUGCCGCGUGUGUGAAGAAGGUCUUCGGAUUGUAAAGCACUUUAAGUU